GCGCCAGUAGCUCAGCUGGUAGAGCAGCUGACUCUUAAUCAGUUGGUCGUGGGUUCGAAUCCUACCUGGCGCACCA
rnacentral:tRNA from 1 species